UACGGGGGGAGCAAGCGUUUGUUCGGAUUUACUGGGCGUAAAGGGCGCGUAGGCGGUCGUGACAAGUCACUUGUGAAAUCUCCGGGCUUAACUCGGAACGGUCAAGUGAUACUGUCGGACUAGAGUACAGAAGGGGCAACUGGAAUUCUCGGUGUAGCGGUGAAAUGCGUAGAUAUCGAGAGGAACACCUGCGGCGAAGGCGGGUUGCUGGGCUGAUAACUGACGCUGAGGCGCGAAAGCCAGGGGAGCGAACGGGG
rnacentral:rRNA from 1 species